AUCCAGACUCCUACGGGAGGCAGCAGUGGGGAAUAUUGCACAAUGGGGGAAACCCUGAUGCAGCGACGCCGCGUGAGCGAUGAAGUAUUUCGGUAUGUAAAGCUCUAUCAGCAGGGAAGAAGAUGACGGUACCUGACUAAGAAGCCCCGGCUAACUACGUGCCAGCAGCCGCGGUAAUACGUAGGGGGCAAGCGUUAUCCGGAUUUACUGGGUGUAAAGGGAGCGUAGACGGCGGCGCAAGCCAGAUGUGAAAGCCCGGGGCUCAACUCCGGGACUGCAUUUGGAACUGUGUGGCUGGAGUGUCGGAGAGGCAGGCGGAAUUCCUAGUGUAGCGGUGAAAUGCGUAGAUAUUAGGAGGAACACCAGUGGCGAAGGCGGCCUGCUGGACGAUGACUGACGUUGAGGCUCGAAAGCGUGGGGAGCAAACAGGAUUAGAUACCCGCGUAAG
rnacentral:rRNA from 1 species